UUGAUGUGUGUGUGUGUGUGUGUGUGUAAAACGCCGUAGAGCAGAGGUGCGGCUACGGAAGACGCGAGUUGUUACUUUGACCAGUUUUUUUGACUGUGGCCAUGCUGGAGCACCGCCUUUUAGUCGAGCAAAUCGACCCCAGGACUUAUUCUUUAGAAGCCUAGUACUUAUUCUAUCGAUCUCUUUUGCCGAACCGCUAAGUUACGGGACAUAAACACACCAGCAUCGGUUGUCAAGCGAUGUUGGGGGGACAAACACACACACACACACAUACAUACACACACACAUACAUAUAUACGACGGGCUUCUUUCAGUUUCCGUCUACCAAAUCCAUUCACAAGGCUUUGGUCAGCCCGAGGCUAUAGUAGAAGACACUUGCCCAAGAUGCCACGCAGUGGGACUGAACCCGGGACCAUGUGGUUGAUUUCAUAAUCAAAUGCUGUUAUAUAUUAUUCUUAUCAUGUAAUACAUGAAGAUAUUACUCUCAGUAACCCACAAUUGCUGUUAAAAAUAGAGGAGGUUCAUCAUUUCUUCUGCAUUGAUACCAAACAACAAGAACUGCAGCUUCAUUAGAUACUUUUAAUAGUGAUAAGCAUUUGUCUACCCAUCAAAGCAGAUGAAUUAAGAAGUCUGCUUGAAUGAGGGACUGUUCUAUAGUUCAAAAGCAUGCAGCUCAAAAUUUACUAGACACCUGCUUCACUCCUUCAGCCAAAAUGAAUGGACUCAGUUCUAUAAAUAUUGAAUACUGUAUGAAGAUCGUUGCAACCAAAUCAAAAGGGUCUUCAAUUUGUGAUUUUACUUUAGGCUGAAGGCCCAGAGACCCCUUGUGGAAGCUUAACUAAAAGUCUACCUGAAUGGCAGCUUUUUGGCUAAUGAUAAAUAACACCCAUGCCAGCAAGGAAAACAAACGUUAAACAAAGAUGAUGAUGAGUAAUACACUACAGUAUGACUUGUCGAACACCACUAAAAUUAAUGAACUUUGUACAUUCAAGCAAAUUGAUAUACAGUUUUAAUAUUAUUGAUGGCUAUGAACAUUCAAACUUACUCUUGUCCUUCUAAUUCAUAAUGCUAAAUUUAUCUACUGUGAACAUAUUAAUUUGUCAACAUUGAAACAUUUUAAUUUGU